rnacentral:rRNA from 1 species
UACGUAGGUGGCAAGCGUUGUCCGGAUUUACUGGGCGUAAAGAGCGCGCAGGCGGUCGUUUAAGUCGAAUGUGAAAGCCCCCGGCUCAACUGGGGAGGGUCAUUCGAUACUGAUCGACUUGAAGGCAGGAGAGGCAACUAGAAUUCCGUGUGUAGCGGUGAAAUGCGUAGAUAUACGGAGGAAUACCUGAGGCGAAGGCGGGUUGCUGGGCCAACACUGACGCUGAGGCGCGAAAGCCAGGGGAGCAAACGGG